GGUAUGAUGACCAUAGUAAUGUAUAAAGGUGAGUUAGAGAGUAGGUAUGAGGACCAUAGUAAUGCAUAAAGGUGAGUUAGAGAGUAGGUAUGAGGACCAUAGUAAUGUAUAAAGGUGAGUUAGAGAGUAGGUAUGAGGACCAUAGUAAUGUAUAAAGGUGAGUUAGAGAGUAGGUAUGAGGACCAUAGUAAUGUAUAAAGGUGAAUUAGAGAGUAGGUAUGAGGACCAUAGUAAUGUAUAAAGGUGAGUUAGAGAGUAGGUAUGAGGACCAUAGUAAUGUAUAAAGGUGAGUUAGAGAGUAGGUAUGAGGACCAUAGUAAUGUAUAAAGGUGAGUUAGAGAGUAGGUAUGAGGACCAUAGUAAUGUAUAAAGGUGAAUUAGAGAGUAGGUAUGAGGACCAUAGUAAUGUAUAAAGGUGAGUUAGAGAGUAGGUAUGAGAACCAUAGUAAUGUAUAAAGGUGAGUUAGAGAGUAGGUAUGAGGACCAUAGUAAUGUAUAAAGGUGAGUUAGAGAGUAGGUAUGAGGACCAUAGUAAUGUAUAAAGGUGAGUUAGAGAGUAGGUAUGAGGACCAUAGUAAUGUAUAAAGGUGAAUUAGAGAGUAGGUAUGAGGACCAUAGUAAUGUAUAAAGGUGAAUUAGAGAGUAGGUAUGAGGACCAUAGUAAUGUAUAAAGGUGAGUUAGAGAGUAGGUAUGAGAACCAUAGUAAUGUAUAAAGGUGAGUUAGAGAGUAGGUAUGAGGACCAUAGUAAUGUAUAAAGGUGAAUUAGAGAGUAGGUAUGAGGACCAUAGUAAUGUAUAAAGGUGAAUUAGAGAGUAGGUAUGAGGACCAUAGUAAUGUAUAAAGGUGAGUUAGAGAGUAGGUAUGAUGACCAUAGUAAUGUGGUGGUAAGAGGCACAGCAUUGCUAAAGGGUCGAGCUGAUAUUCACAGAUCUGAAGUCUACCUUCCACAGUGUUCCUCUCUGUGAUGGUUAAUGAUGUCUCACUGAAGACAGCGGUGUAUAGUGACAGGAGUCACAGCUUGAGAGGCUAGUCGUUUCUGAAUCUUUACCAUGGGCCUGUUGUCAGUGUUUUUUUUAAUCAGUGUGGGACCACAAAUCAAUCUGAUCACCUGACAGACUUCCUGUCUCCCAUGGUGCCCUUGGCCCUUAACAAGGAAGUGAUGCGUGCCGCCCAGACUCCUGUCUCUCAGUGACCCGUGGAGGGGCGUGUGUCCAACCCCCAUAUCUGUCUUUACGCAAUGACUCAGUGAGGAGCAGUUGGACCUGGAGCCUCCAGAUUGUUGUUUCAAGUCAACCACCCUGCUUCCUCCAAACCCAAUGGAGAUGGAUGACUGACUUUGUUUUGGUGUUUUAGCUUUUCGCAGGUUUAGUCAUUAGCCCUUUGACAGCUAUCCCCUCUUCUGGUUAAGUCAGUUUGACUCUUUCCACAUUUUGGCGACCAAGGGAGAUUUCAACAGAAUGUUGAGUACUGAAGUAAUGGAGAAACAAUGAAGAGAAAUGACAGAAGCUGCUGCUUCCCUCCUGUUGCUGCCAGAUUCAGGUCAAACAUCCAGGAGUAACUCUCCAUUAGAGCUCGUCUGGCUUCAAUAUUUUACUCUGUAAAGACUCAAACCCUUUCAACAACGUUUCAGCAGCCAGAUGAAGCUUCUCGGUCCCGAGUAGGGAGGGAUCUCUCUCUCUCUGGAGGAGUCUGCAUCCUCCGACCACAUACAUCCUGGGUCUCAUCACUCCUUUCUCUUCCCUCUCCCUCCCUUCAUUUAACUUAUCUGACCCAGUCACCUGAGGUGGAAGGGUUCUAGGUGGAAUGGUGGAAUGCUUCUCUGGGGGCAGCAUGUGUUAUUUGGCUUCUCGCAGGCGGUUCCACUGCUGCACAAACACCCACAAGUCACUGAGGGAAAUAUGCGGAUCAGUCACCACUGCUCUCCAGGCGUGGCUCAAAGGUCUACCGGGUUGGUGCCAAAACAACAAACAUUAUUCAGAGGAGAAAUGGCCUGAUUAUUAUAUUACACAGGCUUAUCCCCCAAAGCUGUGGGGAGUAUUAUGAAUAGCACAGCAGUUUCAUUUAAACGUCUAGGAACUCAAUAGUUCCAUUCUGAAUUCCAGGCAGUUUAGUAGUUGAAAUGGAAUUGACUCCCUCUCUGAUACAAAGUGACCAGUCAAUAUCUCAGCUCAUUGAACGUUCAUGGGCCUGUGAUAUCCUUGGAUGAAAGGUAGGUGAAUGAGGCUGAAGGGAAGUGAGUGAAUAGUCGCUGUGUGUAUAUCUGUGCCACAGUGUCAAAUUCAGCCCUUUCAAGCUGCUGCGCUACUUCCUAAUCUACACAAUGAGAGCAUUAGAGUCAAAUCACUGGGAUAUCCUGUUGACAUCCCUAUGGAGGACAAAGAUACAGCCUUCUCAGUGUUCCCAGCUUAAUGAGAUGUGUCAUAACAACACAACAACGCCUUCAUUCAAAGAUACCUACAGUCCAAUAUUAAACAAACAUAUUCAGAGCAGGUGACCCAUGUGGGAAUUCAUUUGAAGCCACAACGUUGGUCUUGCCAGCACUGGUUUUACAAACUCCACUUUUUUGGGGACAGCUCAAUGGUCUUUUGAUCAGAAUCAUGGUCCAACCAACAGAACCAGCUGGAGAAAUGAACAUCUUACUUGUGUCUAACCCUAGUCUGUCAGUCACCUUUAGUUCAGCAUUGAGAGGGUAACAGAGGGUAACAGAAACAGAACCUACAACCAAUAGUCAGUCAGCAGCUGUAGAGUCGCAGGACGUAAUUAUAUUCCCAGUCAAAAGUGUUCAAUUCUCUCCUCGUUAUGAUUCACCUCAGAAUGUCAACUGGUACAACACAGGGCUUUAGGUUACAUUCCUGUUAGAAGCAACACACACACACAGACCUUUGAGAUGUAAUGAAGACCAGAUGCUGGCCCAGCGCUUUACACCUCACCACCUGACC